GGAGACGUAUCGAAGCGGUCAUAACGAUCUCGACUCGAAAUCGAGCAAGCCCUUUACCGGGCCCGUGGGUUCGAAUCCCACCGUCUCCGCCA
rnacentral:tRNA from 1 species